CUCAGGCUCUUACCUUAUUCUCCUCCUUCCGGAAGAUCUGUUUCCUUAUGCACCACAACUCUUGUUACAGACAUGUCAGGAUGCUGUUCUUUGGCUUCUUUAAUGGCUUGUGCCAAUGCCUACAAAACCAGCUGGACUCAGACAAGAAACCCAAACCAAGCAAAAAUGAGCAAGGAUGGAGAAAACAAUCAGUGGGCACCAGAUUCCCUAUCAAGUCUCCUUGACAACCGAUUCUCACCACCACCACUACCACAGUUGCCACAGCAAUUGUAGGAUUGGGAAUAUAUGUUUCCCAAGGUAAUGGGUAGUUCUGCCAGGAACCACCUGUCAGCUUUCUUCCAUAUCUGAUGUGGGAUGUGGAAAGUGUAAGCACUGGGCAAUUAGCAACUUUUCCCUAAAGAUCUUUUCAAAACACAGUUCAGAGGUAAACAUAAUGAGUGGAGAUUUUGCCUUGACAGAUGCACACUGGAAACUCAAGACAUAAACCAAAAUAAAUAGCAAUCAGUUUUUAAAUAUAGAACCUUCAGGGCUUAACAAUAAAUGGCCAAGUAAAUACAUACACUAUUUUGCUUUGCCUAUACUUUAUUUAGUACUUGAGCAUGGAAGAGUUAUCCUUCAGAAUACAGAGAAACAAAAUUGAAAACAAGACCGGAUAGGCAAGAAAAAAAUGGUUUUAAGAAAUAAUGUUUUCAAGUUUCCUAGAUACAGUUUCAGCUUUGACAAAUACUUUAUUUCUAAACUGUACUGAACAUCAUUUAGAAGAAUGACAUUUCAGGGUUGUUCAAACUGAAGAAUUCAGGGGUUCAAAUAUGAAAAAUAAAAGUAUUUUGUUCUUAUCAAGUGUAUUUUCCAUUUUAAAGGGUUACUAAAGAUCCUAAUUUUACUGAAAUAAUGUUGGAAUUUACAUCUGAAUACGAGCAUGUUUUAUAUGAAUUAAAAACUCAGACAUUUAUAAUGCUGAACAAGAUCUUGUGUUACAAACAGAUGCAUACAAUCUAUCUCUAAAAUGUUUACUUUAAGACUUUAUACUAUUUAUCCUAAGUGGAGUAUACUGAGAUCUGAAUUUUAUUAAAGCAAAUCUGUUGUCUGACCUUUCCAGAUUCCCCAGCUGUAUGUUUUUGUUUUAGCAUGUGCUGGGACAGACAUCCCUCAUGCCUAAUGCUAAACAGCUCUGUCAUUUAAUUUCAGGCUUCAAGGAGAGAUUGAACUUGUCACAAGCCACUUGCUACAGGCACAUCAAAAUCUGAAAUUAAAUUUACUCAGAGCCCUUGGUACAUUACAAUUAAGAAAUGAAAAUUAAAUCCCUGUUCUGUUAAAUUGUGAACCUACCAUCAAUUAAGAAUCAGUGCAGCACCACAUAGUAAAAAUGGCAGAUUAUAAUUACAGUAAUUUAGUGAUUGUUAGUGAUUUACAUCAUGAGGUGGUUGAGUUUUAAAAAUAUUGUUCGUGUUCUUAUAACAGAACAUUUUUGAUAGGGGAAAAACCUCAAAUGCCUCAUGACAGGCAAAAUAUUGGAAAGUAGAAUAUGAUGCGUUCUGUCUCUCACCUGAUCGUGGUCAAGGUCUGCAUCGCCAGUGAUAACAAUCCGCUUUUCAAUUCUGGUUUCUGACACACCACCUUUUACUGUCUAAAGAUUUCAAGAACAAGAAAUGUUUUACUUAAUCCCCCAAUGUAAGUAGCAGCUUGUAACUGAACAUAGGAAAGGCAGAAAAUCUUUCUCUAGUUCUUCUAAUGUUUACUGUUUAGUAACAAUUCUUAAGAUAAAAGAAACACAGCACAUUAAGGCCUUAAGACUUAAUUCUAUACUUUCAGUAUUCAGAUGUGUAACAGAAAAACCACACAUGCAGCAUAAAACAACAUUCUUCAUCACUGUCUGGAAAUUCAAGUACCACUCAAUCAAAUGUGGGUCACAAUUUAAGCUCAGUAAAAUACAAAUAUGAUAAACAAUACUAAAAGAACAUGCAAAAGCCCCACCAGCACAAAAUAAUCAGCAGCAUAAAUCCAUUAUGCACUGCAACCUAGAGUAGCAUCGAAAGUGGGGAGAGGGUUUGACAGGUGGCACUAAAUCAGGCAUCCCCAAACUUCGGCACUCCAGAUGUUUUGGACUACAAUUCCCAUCUUCCCUGACCACUGGUCCUGUUAGCUAGGGAUCAUGGGAGUUGUAGGCCAAAACAUCUGAAGGGCCGCAGUUUGGGGAUGCCUGCACUAAAUGGUAACAGUGUCCAUGCCUUCAUUUAGGAUAGUCAUAACUGCUCUGCGACAGAGGACAAGAUGGUUGGACAGUGUUCUCGAAGCUACGAACAUGAGUUUGACCAAACUGCGGGAGGCAGUGCAAGACAGGAGUGCCUGGCGUGCUCUGGUCCAUGGGGUCACGAAGAGUCGGACACGACUAAACGACUAAACAACAACAACUGCUCUAAACAUACUUAAAAUAAAUCAUCCUAGGUUAAAUAUAAUGAAAGUUCAAGAUUCCAGAAAAUAAGCGAGUCACAAAAUCUUGAAUUCUGAAUGGUUCAUUAGUAAAUAUAAAACAUGCCCAGAAACUUGAAUAAUAUAACAUUUCACAGCCCAUUUUGAUUACUUCUGUCCUGUUUUGUUAAAACAGCUGAGAACAGCAAACCUCACUGUUUUUCUUUUUACCUUUGUGAUGUGUGUGGUUGUGGUUGUAGAAAGAGAUUCUGAAGUGAUCGUCUGUGCACUCAACAGCACACCAGCAUCACCACUGCCAUCAAACUGCAUCAUCAAGAAGAAAGAGCAAUAGUCAAUUUUGACAAACGGAAGACAAACCAGCAGCCUUCCUUUAAACAGAAGUUGCCUGUUCUAGACAAUGAAGAUGUCUAGAUUAUGUUUCUCAUGCCACUCAAGUGCAGACGACAAUUCUGGAACAGACAAUGUACUAAAUGUCAUUUAACGUGAUUCAAUCAUCAUUAACCCCUUCUCAGGCAGGUGAGGUCAAGAUGGCAUUUCAGUGAUGUUCUCAGAUAAAGAAGUCCAUUAGUUCAUUGUCCUAGUAUAAGCAGCGUAUGUAUACAGAUAUCAUUUCCACAAGGAGAUAUGGCAACCUGUCCUCUCCCAACAAGCUUACAAUAUUGUAUCCCAAAAAGGCAUUCUAAAUUAUAAAACACCUGUACCUGGGGAGAUUCAUAUGUGAUCGUUUUAGUUUCUGUCUGAACAAUUGGUACUUCCUUGGUGGAUAUUUCAGUUCUCUGUGAAGCAUCUGAAAUGGUCACCAUCUCAGUUUUAACCACUGGAGGCUAGUGUUUAGAAAGACACAGAAGAGUAUGAAUUCAAAAUUCGUGAAACUAAAGUACAUGGUAUACAGCAGUCUAUGAACUGGAUUCAGGCAACAAGAUCCUAGAUUCAUUUUUUAAACAUUCCUUAGAAGAACUUCUAAAUCCAAGUCUGAAAAUCAUGAACACACAAGAAAUGUUAAGUGUUCUGUCUACUAAAUAUAAGAAAGCACUUCAAAAUCACCAUAGUAUAUUUCCUAUGCUAGAUAUGAAUAUAAAUUUAAAUCAGUAGCAUAUAAAAAUGGUUAAUAAAUUAACAUACAAUCAGAUUGGUAAGAUUUAAAGCUUUUAAAAUAUCAGGGUAUAAAGUGAUGAGUCCAUGGCCAGUCACAGCUUCCCAUUGUUUAAACCCAUAGCUUACAUUUGAUUUAAAAACUUGAGUUUUUUUAAACUUCAUGCAAAUAUAUACUCACUGCAGGUGAGCCACAAAUGGCCACAGCAUUUAUGUGUUUCUGUCUUGUACACCAUGUUAACAAGAUAUGUAUCUACCAUACUUCAGUUUGAAUCAUUGUUUAUUAAGCUUGUCAAUAUAUCUUCAAUGAUCUCGUUGGUAUGACCUACCCUUAUGUAGCCAAUAGAUGUCACCCCCAAACCAACUCUGUACACUACUUCCAGAGUGUCACAAACUUGCUUCAAUGCCUUAUAUGGCAAUGUUUAAUAAAAUUCAUAAAUGCAUUUUGAUAGAGUUUAAAACUUGACAAAUCCUGCCAAUGGGGACAAGAUUGACCCAGAUGGCCCUGACCAUCAUUACAAAUCUUCUGUUUCUAUAUUUUAUAAUCUUGGGGGUGGAAAUGCCCUCAGCCACUCCAGUAUAACUAUGGCGCUACACACACAUUUCUCUAGCUGGAGGAGGAAUUGCACAUGCAAGUGGCUCUGUGAAUCCCCCUCCAGUCCAGCUGCUAUGUGCACCAUUCUGUUUUUUGAAAUACACACAGAGCAACAGCACAGAUCAGCUUUGGGGGGAUGGAUGGCUGGAUGGUGGUGGAAUGGGUUUAGUCUUCCCACAAAUUUCAGCCGAUUAACACAGUUGCUGUGCUCCCAAGUUGCUGUUUGCCAGGACCCCCCCCCCCACACACACACACUGAGUUGGAUUGAAAACUUUAACCUGUGCUUCAUUUACCAUCUCUUCUUCAUUAUGCUGCAUGUUCUUAGAGAAAAUAAAUUUGAUUUAGCUUCUACUGAGUAAGUUCAUGCCUCUCGAGGACUACAAGUGGCUAGCAUAAAACAAUAACUGUAUCUGCAAAGGACUUUGGUUAAGAGUAGUAAAUAUGGUGUGUGUGUCUCAUGGUGAUUUAUAGAAUGCACCAACUGUGCAUUCCUACAAAUCCUGGCUCUUUGUGUUUUAGUAUUUAGACAGGGGGUUUCAUAAAAUAAGUAGGGUUUCUCAAUUUAAAAAAUACCGGUACUUGGGUUUUAAGAAUAUUACAUCAAAUGCAUUUUCAUCUCAUGCACAAGAUAGGUAACAUCACAACUCCAAUUAAAAGUUAUUGAAGGAUAAUAAAAAUCAAACUAGACAGGACAAGACUCAAACAAAUUAACACAUGCAAAACAAACAGAACAUGAGAAAGUAAAAAGAUGGCAUAAUCCCAGGCAAGUUCGCUCUUCUGGGUAACCAAACUAGUAAAAAAUUCAGAAGCCUUAACCAAAAGCAGAAUUUGACUGCACAUCCAUUUUCCACUUUCUAGAUCUGAAUCUUUAUGAAAACCUGAAGAGGACAGAGAAGAAGAAAGGCAGAGAUACUGAACCCUAGGACGAUGCGCCUGAUAAAGGAUCCCUUACUCUUCUACCAUUUACCUCGGAGCAACAAAUUAUUUGCUGUGAAACAUCAAUGUCACUAUGCGAUGCCUCUCCAUUUACUUUGAGCUGCUCUUCCACCCUCUCUUCUUUCAGGCCUUGCUUAUCCAGUUUUGCCGGGUGCCCCUCUCUGGGUGUCUUGGUGGAUACUUCAUUCGCCUGGACCAAUGUUUCUGUCACUGGUAUGUGCAUAACUGUUACUUGAAAUGGACUGGCUUCUUGUGAAAUUUCUGCACAUACUGUUGCCUGUGCAUUGUGUUCUCCCUCCUCUAUGACAACUUCAUUUUCUUCUUUUUCUUCUUUUAUGGCACCCUGAGUCAUCCGUUGGUGUGGUUGAUAUUCUCCUACUUCAUCUUCACUCUCACUACUGCUGCUACUUGAUGACAACGAUGAAGAAUCAUUCUUUGAUAGGUGCUCCAUCUUCUGAGUUUGCCCACCACCAGAGACAAGUUGUGUUUUGCCUCUGUUGGUAUCGGCAGUGACUACUGUCUCUUCUAUCCCAACCUCUGCCUGCUUCUUCUCCACUACGUUCAGAGUCUCAUGCGAACUCUGCACAAAACAAAUGGAUGAGGAAAAACAAAAAGUAGAAAGCAUGAAUAAAUAAAAUAAUGAACAUAAAACUAUAUGAUGGGUGGUUCAGGUCACAUGAAGAACAAAGAUGACUGUAAUGGUUAAAUGAAAAAAGUAAGGAAGGAAGAAUGAAGAUUUUGAAAUGUAAAAGCUCAAUGGACUAUGGCAAAAUAGUAGAACCUUAAUCGUCCUGCUGGCUCCAAUGGAAGACUCUUCUGUUUGGGGAGUAAAUUUCUGUGAAACAAGAAGCAACCAGAAGACAAACAUAAAUACAAGCUUCAACACCUCUUGACACAAACAUCUGAUUUUAUCAUUUCACAAACAUCACAGAGGGACUGAUUGUACGCUCACACACGUACAGCACAAUUAGCACAGAUCAAGUGCACAGAAAUAAGCACACUGAAAAUAUGCAAUUCUUUUUUAGCCAGAGUGCUGUAAAACUUUCUACUUAUGAAAGCUCCAAAGUUGUUAUGGUGGCAUUUGGUAAAUCUGGAUUCUUUAGGGGUUUUUAUUUCAUUUGAUUUAUCUGAACAGGAUACACCUCUAAUUGAAACUUUCACUCUCUUGGCUUGGGACAGGUUAAAUUCUGAAAUAAAUAUUCUACUUUAAUAACUAUCAUCAUCAUCAUUAUUAUUAUUAUAUUUGUAAAACAAUGUUAUGAAGUGCCAAACAAGGCUAACAUUAACUGGCCAACUAUGUUCAUGUAUAUGCGGAUUUUUCUAACAAACCUAAUGUAUAUCAGCAAAUACUGACACCCUUGAAAGGGCUGCUACAAGUUCUGCCAGAUGUUCCUAUUUCACAGAUAUUAAAUAUCUGAACUUACAUACAUUUCAUUGUUUUAGACCCUUGAUUAGUUGGUCACCUCUGAGGAUAUAUGAAAUUUGCCUGUACCGUACAUAUAUGUAAUAUCUUAAAUGGAGAAAUGUGAUUGGCAUAUAAGCAUGUAAGGAACAGCAUUUUAAAAGCCCAUACUGUCAUAUGAUCCUCAAGGAACUAGUACUGUGCCACUUGUCCUAGAGUCAGGACAAACUGACGUAUGUAGAUUUUAAAAGCUAAGAGAUGACACACACACACACACACACACACAGGACAGUACAAAAAAGUGAAAGGAAAAACAUAACAGUACCAUUACUAUACUAAUUAAUCCUAUUACAGCAGCUGUGAUUUAAUUUUGGUUUCAAAUUAAAGUUUAAGGCUAGAUUAAUCUAUGGCUGCCAGAUAAUUUCAAAUAUAAAUGGAAUAGAAAAACAAUAUAUAGUACUAUUGCUUUUGAAUAUCUAUGUCUACAAAACAUUUAGAAUGGGCAAUAUAGCUUUUAACUUGCCCCUGCCUUUCAUUUUUUUAUUCAAAAUAAUUUUACUUCUAACUUCUAAAAAAGCGCAAUGAUGCAAUAUGUGUUUACAUUCUAACUCUCCGUUCCCACUUCCUGCAUGGAGUUGGCACUUCUACACGCAAGUCACUGGUAAAACCAAUUCAUGCAGGCGUUUUGCAUAUACACCAGCCAUUUCAAAGAGCUUUUUUUUUAGGCUCUGCACUUUUCGCUAUCCUAAUUUCAUCUUACAAUAUUUUAAUCACUGGACACAAUUUCAUCUGACAUGAAACCCCACUGUCUUCAUAUAUAGUUUUAUGAUGGAAAAAGUAAAUGUGGAAAAGCACCUCAGGCAGCUGAGAGAAGGGCGAGGCAGAAAGCUUUUCAGGAGGUACAUUAUCUUUCACAACAGUGCCCUCUGCUGUCCACAAGGUAGCUGAAGAGAAGGCAGAUUUCAUGCUAGUGGAAAAACCCUCUUUACUAAAUAAAAUUGAUGCUAUCUCCUCUUCUAGGCUCUAGACAAGUUAGAAAAUGGAAAGUAACGAAUUAAACAGCAGAAGACAAAACAGCAGUGACCUACAAAAGAAAGGAAAGCAUCAGGCAGGAAAAGAAAAAGGACACAAAAAGGAAAAAAAGCACACCAACACAAGAAAGAGCACAU